UACAGAGGUCCCAAGCGUUGUUCGGAUUCACUGGGCGUAAAGGGUGCGUAGGCGGGUUUUUAAGUCAGGGGUGAAAUCCUGGAGCUCAACUCCAGAACUGCCUUUGAUACUGAAGAUCUUGAGUUCGGGAGAGGUGAGUGGAACUGCGAGUGUAGAGGUGAAAUUCGUAGAUAUUCGCAAGAACACCAGUGGCGAAGGCGGCUCACUGGCCCGAUACUGACGCUGAGGCACGAAAGCGUGGGGAGCAAACAGG
rnacentral:rRNA from 1 species